rnacentral:rRNA from 1 species
AGACGUCUACAUUAGAUACCCGUGUAGUCCUAGCCGUAAACGAUACUCGCUAGGUGUCGGCCACGGUGCGACCGUUGUCGGUGCCGUAGGGAAGCCGUGAAGCGAGCCACCGUGGGAAGUACGGCCGCAAGGCUGAAACUUAAAGGAAUUGGCGGGGAGCACCACAACGGGUGGAGCUUGCGGUUUAAUUGGAUUCAACGCCGGAAAUCUUACCGGGACCGACAGCAACAUGAAGGCCAGGCUGAAGACUUUGCCGGAUUAGCUG